AGCAGCCUGAAAGAAAGUGAAAAUAACGACGCUGAACGUGACAUCGGAGCAGCGAGGGAAUGCUGCGUAGCUGACAUUCCGAGCAGCCUGAGAGGAGGAGGAGGCCUAGGAUAGGUAUCGGGCAUCAACGUACCAACACUUCUGAAAAUAUCCACGCUGGAAGGACCAUCAGCUUCGCAUCGAGGGAACACGAUGGACAUCUCGAGCAGCCUGAGAGGAGGUGGAGGCCUAGGAGAGGCAUCGGGCAUCGGCGUACUUAACACUUCUGAAAAUAUCCACGCAGGAAGGAGUAUCUUCGCAUCGAGGAAACAGUAACUGACAUCCCGAGCAACCUGAGAGGAGGUGGAGGCCUAGGAGGAGGCAUCAGGCGCCGACGGAGCAACAAGCGAAUCAUCGUAGCGACGUUGCAGAAUAACUCCGCUGUUGCGCAUCGGUCGGUGAGUGAUGAUUAAAAUUUCAUAAUUGAGGUACCUAAUGAAUUUAUGACAAUUACGUCAAAUAUAUUGCGGUGUCAAGUUAUCACAAUAAAUUAUUACUUAUAUUUCGUUUCAUAGAUUCGUUGUCUUAAAAUGGAAUGACUGGGUCAGAUUAGGAUUUAACAUUUAAUCUUGGAUAAAUCACAUAAAUUGAUUUGUCGUACAUUUUGUCAUUGUAAAUUCCAUCCCAAAUAUCUUUCAGGAUUAAGUGUUACAUAAAUUGGUGCAAGAAUGCAAUAUAUAAUACGCUUAGAGAUGCUUUUAGCUUGCAUAUAUCACGAUUUCUUCUUUCUUCUUCUUCUAAAAAGGGCAUGUCGUAGGUAUUGUUGUCACUUUUCCGCGAUGCCGAUUGGUUCUCUUGCUGCGCUUACUUCAUUUGCAGCUGUCAUUGUAUAUUUUGAC